rnacentral:rRNA from 1 species
CAUGAAGUUGGAAUUGCUAGUAAUCGCGAAUCAGAAUGUCGCGGUGAAUACGUUCCCGGGCCUUGUACACACCGCCCGUCACACCAUGAGAGUCGAUAACACCCGAAGCCUGUGAGCUAACCUUUUAGGAGGCAGCAGUCGAAGGUGGGGUUGAUGAUUGGGGUGAAGUCGUAACAAGGUACC